rnacentral:ribozyme from 1 species
GGGUCAAGCGCUAACGCCAAAACGAAGAAGGAGGACUUCAGCACAGCAAUUAUGGACCGCAAGAAGUCCCCAAACCGUUUGGUUGUGGACGACGCGAUCAACGACGAGAACAGUGUGAUCUCACUU